rnacentral:rRNA from 1 species
GAUGAACGCUGGCGGCGUGCCUAAUACAUGCAAGUCGAGCGAACAGAUAAGGAGCUUGCUCCUUUGACGUUAGCGGCGGACGGGUGAGUUACACGUGGAUAACCUACCUAUAAGACUGGGAUAACUUCGGGAAACCGGAGCUAAUACCGGAUAACAUAUUGAACCGCAUGGUUCAAUAGUGAAAGGCGGCUUUGCUGUCACUUAUAGAUGGAUCCGCGCCGUAUUAGCUAGUUGGUAAGGUAACGGCUUACCAAGGCAACGAUACGUAGCCGACCUGAGAGGGUGAUCGGCCACACUGGAACUGAGACACGGUCCAGACUCCUACGGGAGGCAGCAGUAGGGAAUCUUCCGCAAAGGGCGAAAGCCUGAUGGAGCAACGCCGCGUGAGUGAUGAAGGUCUUCGGAUCGUAAAACUCUGUUAUCAGGGAAGAACAAAUGUGUAAGUAACUGUGCACAUCUUGACGGUACCUGAUCAGAAAGCCACGGCUAACUACGUG